UUGCACCACUGCACUCCAGCCUGGGCGAUACAGUGAGACCCAGUCUCAAAAAAAAAAAAAAAAGAGUCUUUUUUGAUGGUGGACAUCUUCCAAUGAGCAUUCACAUGGGACAGAUUUUUUUUUAGUUCUACCGUUGUUCUGAAAGCUCUAUGUAUGUUCCUCUUCCCUAAAAAUCUUUGUCACCAAGCCUCCAGAUUUAUUCCUUCUAAAAUGUUGAAAUUCCAGCUAAUUCCUUAGUUGUUACCCAGGAAACAAUGCAGAUCCUGGUCCGAGGAUGCAGCUCCUUCCAGGCAGCCUGGACUGUGAGGUGUGCUCCAUUGCUCUUCAGGAACCGUCCUUGAGAGGCGUUCCACAGCAGGCCAGACCUGGGGGGAGCAGGUGGGCCAGGCGGAAAGCACAGCACAAUUUGAGAGAUGCUGAGUACUCAUGACUCUGUGUAAGCACCUGAAUUCAGCCCUCAUGGUCUUUUCUGAGCUGUCAGUCAUUUAUCUCUAUUUAGUCAUUUUGCGAAUUGGAGUUAGCUUCCUUCCCUCUACACUCAAAGACGGCAUGUCAACAUUUUAGGCCUCUGGGUGGAAUGAACUCCCAGUUUCCUGGGAGGGAGCUGAUUGGCAUCUAUUCGCCUCUUCCUAGUUUUGUGGGGUUUCCCAGCAUGUGGAGUCAUAGAGAAAGACUGGUCCCACCUUCUAUGUAAUGCCCAAGAGAAUAGAUGACUCUCUGUCCACCCCCACCCUGGCAUCCAGGGCUUCUGGACAAGACCUAGGCUGGCUAAUUGGCUGCUUCCACAUGGGAUCCUGAAUCUGGAGCAAGUGAGGCAAAGCCCAGGGUGCUUAGAAUCCAUUCUCAGUGAGAGCAGCAGGACUGCCCGGGAGGGGAAUAGAGACGGGGACGACCGAGUCCUGCACCAGCAGAGAUGACGUCCGCAGGUGGCGGGGCAGCGCUGUGGCCGUGUCACUCCUCACAAAGCAGGGCUCUUGUGCUCGCAGCCUUCGAUACCGUCUCACUGUCUUGGCUUCUAUUUAUCUUCCAAGCCAAUUUCCAGCCUCCUACACACGUGGGGUUCUUCUGGUAUCAUUCCAGUGAAUUUCAUGUUGUUUUCUGCCCUAAGAAAACAGAGUUGGUACCUCUGCUCGACCAAGAAGCCUGAUUGAUACAGACUGAGAGCUGCAGGCUGUGUUUAUUUGCUUCAUUAACAAGAACAACUUAGGAAUGGCAACUUCCAUUGAUGAGCUUCCUACUUUGUUCUGCGGUUGGAAAACAAACAGUUGUUUCCCUGUUGACGACUGGCCACACUGGAGAGGUGAACAGUUCACUCUCAAGGCCAUACUGACUUGAACACUGGCUGUCUAGAAACAGAGAGGCAGGCAGCGGCAGACAGGAAGAGAGAUGGAGCAGAGUCCUCCAGCGGGAGCUGCACCUCGGAAGCAUCCUUAGAUGCGGCUUGGAGUUGGGAUCCUUCAAUUCCCCUCAGGAGAGUCAGCCAAAAAUAUCAACAGCCACAAUUUAUUGGACGCCUUCAGGAGAAAUGUCAAAGGCCUUUGUCCAAAAUGGAGUUUCACUGUUGUUGCCCAGGCAGGAGUGCAGUGGCGACUGGGAGUAAGACUUCGGGCCAGUGUGUCGUCCUGGAAACCCAAGCUGGUUCCCUGCAGGAAAGGAGGCUGGACAAGUGGGAAUGAGACUGAGUUGGAGUGGAGUUGGCCUCCACUCUGUUUACUAAGAGCUGUGUGUCCCUAGGAAAAACAUUAACAUCUGCCAUUUUUCUAAAUUGAAUGUGAAAGAUGAUCCUGACAGGCUGAACAAAGAUGCUUGCUCUCUGUUGUGAUGUUUGACAAGGGAAUCUUCCUUCAUUUUCUCCUCUGAUGAGCCUCUCUACCAGAUAAGCAGCAGCAGGAACCAAACGUUUAAGAAAAAUGUAAAGACAUUAUUUUGUCCAUCACUUAACAUUUUUAUGAACAAGUUGGGAGGUAGCCUGCAUGAAUGCCUCUGUGCAAUGGAAUGAAUGGCCGGAGAUCUCACCAUCCCAGGAUGACUUUGGGGAAGGAAGACCCAAACAGCCCACUAUCACAUGCUGUCCUGCCUGCCUCAGGCCUCCUGUCCUUCUCUCCCUUGUGACCUGCAAACUAACCUUGAGGACUCAUGUCAACUGUCACUGCAUUGGAAGCCCUCUGUGAUAGUUAAUAUUGAGUGUCAACUUGAUUGGAUUGAAGGAUGCAAAGUAUUGUUCCUGGGUGUGUCUGUGAGGGUGUGGC
rnacentral:lncRNA from 1 species